UUAAUAAUAAUAAUAAUAGCGAAUUUUGACUCAUGGGCCCCACAAAAUCAAAAUACUACUUCCCUCUAUAAAUAGGCCAACCCAACCCCUCCAUCGUCACAAACUACACAUAAACACAGCUUCUUUCACCACCAUCAUUCGCUUCUCGUAAAACAAAAAUCCAUAAAAAAAAAAAAGGAAAAGCACAAAAUGUGCCCAACGGGAAGCGAACUUUCGAGAACCGUGGAGAAAUCGAAUCUGCGGUCGGCGUUCGACGUCCUUGACGCCGACGGCGACGGCCGGAUCAGCCACGCCGAUCUCCGCACCUUCUACGGCGGGAUCUCGGGCUCCGACGAAGACGUGAUCGGCUCGAUGAUCUCCGCGGCGGAUUUGAACCGGAACGGCUUCGUGGAGUACGAGGAAUUCGAGAGGGUUUUGGGCGGCGGCGAGGGGCGUAAGAGGAGAGAGAAGAAUGGGAGGAUGGAGGGCGCGAUGGAAGAGGCGUUUCGGGUGAUGGACAAGGAUGGGGAUGGGAAGGUCGGGAUCGAGGAUUUGAGGCUCUACCUGGAAUGGGCCGGGCUGGAGGCCCGCGACGAGGAUGUGCGGGCCAUGAUUUGCUUGGGCGGCGGUGAUGAAAGCGCAGGCGUUACAUUUGAGGGUUUGCUCAAAAUUCUCUCGGUUUGAAUUUUUCUUUGUUGAUGAUGAUGAUGAAAAAUUAAAAAUGUUUACUUUCCCCCCUCUUUUUUGGUGUUUUUAGAUUUCUUGGGAUAUGUGGAAGAAAAUUUGGUAGUAGUGUGAUUUUGCAGAGAACGAACAGUCUGGCACUUUUUUGUCUUUUUUAAUGGCUCUCUGUAUUUCUUGUUGAUUUUGGUGAUUUUGGUGAACCAUAACUUUUGUAGGGUUUAAUGUACGAUCAUUUUCCUGUCUAAAGAAAUAGUAGUAAAUAAAUGCUUGAUUGUUCUCUCUUUACGAAGAAAAUGAUAAUAAGGGUUACAAUAACAAUAAUGCUAUUUGGACAAAAUUUGUCCGCACAAAAUAUAGUUAAAUACUUUAUAAAAUAAAUUUAUUUAAAAGUUUUGAUUCAAAAUAAAAUAGGAUUUAGUUAGUUUUAUUGUUUUCUUUAUAUUGUAAUUUUUUAAUAACCUUUUUAAUUAUUAGUAUUUUUAAAGUACACAAAUUACAAAUAAAAUAACAAAAAAUAAAAAAAAUGUUAAAAAAUUAUGAAAAAAUUACAAUAGAAAAAACAAUAAAACUAAUUAAAUCCUUUCAAACUUGAAUCAAAAUUUAUAAAUAAAUUGAUUUUUAAAAAAAUUUAACCUUAUUUUUGUCCGAACAAAUUUUGUCCAAAUAGCACUGCUCUUACAAUAAACAUGACACCAAUUAACGUCAUUAAAGACUACAAUUUUCAUUAACGUGAUUUUUAUUUUUAUUUUUAACAAUGAAAAACUACAAUUUUCAUUAACAAAUAUAGUAUUAUAUUAUUAUCUCUCUAUUCAGUAGUAAACAUGACAUAAAAAUACGGGUUACAAUAAACAUACGGAUUAAAGACUACAAUUUUCAUUAACAAAUAUAGUAUUAUUAUCUCUCUAUUCAGGAAGUAGAAUUACAGUGAAAAAGUGUUUUAAUUUUUUUUAACAAUGAAAAAUUGUUUUAAUUAGUAUUCAAAGUGGUGAAAAUAUCAAAAAUAAUGGUAAAUGAUAUAUUGAUAAGUGAUGAUAUAUAGUCCAAAAAUAGGAAAUUUUUUUGUAGAUAUCUCAAAAAGAAAAAAUAGAAAAAAAAUUCGUGGACGAAUGAAGUAUACUAUACACCUUCUAUUCCUGAAACAUGACACCAAUUUUAAUUAAAAAUAGUUAUAUAUUUAAUGGGUGGAGAAUGAAUCUCAUAAAUUAAAAUAAGAUAGAAAAAAUAAUGAUAGUGAUUAAUUUACUAAUUAAAAUAAAAAUGGAUAGAUAUAUUAAUGACAAUGUGUGUAAAUAUAUAAAAAUCGUAAGAAUAAUAAUUAGUUAAAUUAUUUUUAAAAAUAUAUUAGGAAGAUGGCAUGGGAAAAGAAAAUAAAUAGAGAUAUUUUAAAAACGAAUGAAGCAAUGUGAUAUUGAAUUAUAUGAAAAAUAAUCAAUCAAUUCUUAAUUUCUCGAAUUGUUGUCCUUUGGUUCGUCUUGA
rnacentral:lncRNA from 1 species